rnacentral:rRNA from 1 species
UCCAGACUCCUACGGGAGGCAGCAGUGGGGGAUAUUGCACAAUGGGGGAAACCCUGAUGCAGCGACGCCGCGUGAGUGAAGAAGUAUUUCGGUAUGUAAAGCUCUAUCAGCAGGGAAGAAAAAAGACGGUACCUGACUAAGAAGCCCCGGCUAACUACGUGCCAGCAGCCGCGGUAAUACGUAGGGGGCAAGCGUUAUCCGGAUUUACUGGGUGUAAAGGGAGCGUAGACGGCAAUACAAGUCGGAAGUGAAAUACCCGGGCUUAACCUGGGAACUGCUUUGGAAACUGUAUGGCUGGAGUGCUGGAGAGGUAAGCGGAAUUCCUAGUGUAGCGGUGAAAUGCGUAGAUAUUAGGAGGAACACCGGUGGCGAAGGCGGCUUACUGGACCAUAACUGACGUUGAGGCUCGAAAGCGUGGGGAGCGAACAGGAUUAGAUACCCCAGUAU